UGAGCAUCACAACCAAUGCCAAUGCAGCAAUGCGACUUGCCUCACCUGUAGGGUGUGGUGGAAUGCAGAUUAUAGAGUGGAGGUGAGGAGCCUCUUGGAGCCAGAGACGCAGAGUCUGCGGUCUUGUCCAAGAAUCCCCCACCCAUCACAAUCACACAAUCACCGGUCUCAAAUCAGGCAGGACUACCCGCUGAACUUAA
rnacentral:misc_RNA from 1 species